rnacentral:rRNA from 1 species
UACGUAGGGGGCCAGCGUUGCUCGGAUUCAUUGGGCGUAAAGGGUGCGUAGGUGGCGGGGUAAGUCGGAUGUGAAAUCCCGGGGCUCAACCCCGGAACUGCAUUCGGUACUGCCUUGCUCGAGUACUGGAGAGGAGAUUGGAAUUUACGGUGUAGCAGUGAAAUGCGUAGAUAUCGUAAGGAAGACCAGUGGCGAAGGCGAAUCUCUGGACAGUUACUGACACUGAGGCACGAAGGCCAGGGGAGCAAACGGG